ACCGGGAUUGCCCUAGUAACGGCGAGUGAAGCGGCAAGAGCUCAAAUUUGAAAGCUGGCUCCUUCGGGGUCCGCAUUGUAAUUUGCAGAGGAUGCUUCGGGAGCGGUCCCCAUCUAAGUGCCCUGGAACGGGCCGUCAUAGAGGGUGAGAAUCCCGUAUGGGAUGGGGUGCCCGCGCCCGUGUGAAGCUCCUUCGACGAGUCGAGUUGUUUGGGAAUGCAGCUCUAAUUGGGUGGUAAAUUUCAUCUAAAGCUAAAUAUUGGCCGGAGACCGAUAGCGCACAAGUAGAGUGAUCGAAAGAUGAAAAGCACUUUGAAAAGAGAGUUAAACAGCACGUGAAAUUGUUGAAAGGGAAGCGCUUGCGAUCAGACUCGCUCGCGGGGUUCAGCCGGCCUUCGGGCCGGUGUACUUCCCCGCGGGCGGGCCAGCGUCGGUUUGGGCGGCCGGUCAAAGGCCCCUGGAAUGUAACGCCUCUCGGGGCGUCUUAUAGCCAGGGGUGCCAUGCGGCCUGCCCGGACCGAGGAACGCGCUUCGGCUCGGACGCUGGCAUAAUGGUCGUAAGCGACCCGUCUUGAAACACGGACCAAGGAGUCUAACAUCUACGCGAGUGUUCGGGUGUCAAACCCGUGCGCGCAGUGAAAGCGAACGGAGGUGGGAACCCCCCGGGGUGCACCAUCGACCGAUCCUGAUGUCUUCGGAUGGAUUUGAGUAAGAGCGUAGCUGUUGGGACCCGAAAGAUGGUGAACUAUGCCUGAAUAGGGCGAAGCCAGAGGAAACUCUGGUGGAGGCUCGCAGCGGUUCUGACGUGCAAAUCGAUCGUCAAAUUUGGGUAUAGGGGCGAAAGAC
rnacentral:rRNA from 1 species